UGGGCUUCGGUGUGGGCCAUCAAUUACUGUCUGUGACUUUGAGCUGAUUACUGAACCUGCCGCAUUUGAUUCAAUUUGUAUUCCUGGGCCUUAGCACAGCGGUGAGCACAAUUCAUAUUUAUUGAAUUGGAUUAGAUUUUGUAAAAUCCCUGGCUCCACAGGCAUUGCAUCAAGUAUCUUUUGCUGCAUAACAAAUUACCUCUAACAUAUGGUGGCUUCCAAUUAUUUCUUUUGAUCACGAACUGCAAUGUGAGCAGGGCAGAGGGCAGACUGGCCAUCUCUGUUUCAGGCAGCAUCAGCUGAGGGGACCUGACUAGGACUGGAAGAUACGCUUGACGAGGAAUGAACCGGACUGGAUGUGGCUACAAGAAACCCUGCCCCACUGCUCAAAAACAGAUGCGAGCAAAAGUUCCUAAAAUGUCAGGAUAUACUUGUACAUGUGGGAUGGCACAUUACAAAACAUCUAAUAUUACUACUUAAAAGUACAUUGUACUUACAUCACUGGAUAUUUGGGCAUCAGUUUUGCCUUGU